ensembl:lncRNA
CAGGGGCGCGCUGUACAUGUCCUCGUCGUCGGGGCCGCCUAGCGACAGGGAGCCAAGGCUGGGGUACUCGAGCUCCUGCAGGCCCUCGCGGCGGUAGAACUGCUUCAGGGCCGCGAUGUUCACCACGUCCUGCGGCAUCAGCUGCGACUCGGCGGCCGAGGCCUCCACGCGACACCCCGUCAGCGCGGAUAGCGCCUCCAGACACAGGUAAACGAUGCUGCUGCUGCCGCGGGAAGACGGAGGCGGGGCUUGUUGAUUACGCCAGUAUAAAACAUGCACACAGGCCACGCCCCUCUGCCCAGCAAGGACCAGGAUUGGUCAAAGAAAACAUUCCUCGAGGCAUCAUAUACGCAGCCGUGAGGUUACAGAGCCCGCCCCCGAGGCAGUGAUGGACGGAUCCACUGGCGAAUAAGGAUUCAGUAAAUCGUUAGAUUCUAUUUGUAUUUUAAUUUU